rnacentral:rRNA from 1 species
AUUGAACGCUGGCGGCAUGCCUUACACAUGCAAGUCGAACGGUAACAGGUCUUCGGAUGCUGACGAGUGGCGAACGGGUGAGUAAUACAUCGGAACGUGCCCGAUCGUGGGGGAUAACGGAGCGAAAGCUUUGCUAAUACCGCAUACGAUCUACGGAUGAAAGCAGGGGACCGCAAGGCCUUGCGCGGACGGAGCGGCCGAUGGCAGAUUAGGUAGUUGGUGGGAUAAAAGGCUUACCAAGCCGACGAUCUGUAGCUGGUCUGAGAGGACGACCAGCCACACUGGGACUGAGACACGGCCCAGACUCCUACGGGAGGCAGCAGUGGGGAAUUUUGGACAAUGGGCGCAAGCCUGAUCCAGCCAUGCCGCGUGCAGGAUGAAGGCCUUCGGGUUGUAAACUGCUUUUGUACGGUAACGAAAGACUCUUUCUAAUAAAGAGGGUCCAUGACGGUACCGUAAGAAUAAGACACCGGCUAACUACGUAGCCAGCAGCCGCGGUAAACGG